AGAGUUUGAUCCUGGCUCAGGAUGAACGUUGGCGGUGUGCCUAAUACAUGCAAGUCGAACGGUGACGAUUUUGUAGCAAUACGAAUGAAAUCAUAGUGGCGAACGGGUGAGUAACGCGUUGGUGAUCUGCCUCGAAGUGUGGAAUAACUUCCCGAAAGGGUAGCUAAUACCGCAUAGUCUCUCAAGGUUAGAAAAUUGAGAGUAAAGGAUUUAUUCGCUUCGAGAGGAGCCUGCGUCCCAUCAGCUAGUUGGUAGGGUAAUAGCCUACCAAGGCAAUGACGGGUAGGGGACCUGAGAGGGUGGCCCCCCACAAUGGAACUGAAACACGGUCCAUACACCUACGGGUGGCAGCAGUAGGGAAUAUUAGAAAUGGGCGAAAGCCUGAUCUAGCAACACCGCGUGUGCGAUGAAGGCCUUCGGGUUGUAAAGCACUUUUUGGAGGGAAUAGGAAGGAAGGUACCUCCAGAAUAAGCCUCGGCUAACUACGUGCCAGCAGCCGCGGUAACACGUAGGAGGCAAACGUUAUCCGGAUUCACUGGGCGUAAAGCGCGUGUAGGUGGUUCUGUAAGUAGGGCGUGAAAGCUCCCGGCUCAACUGGGAGAGGCCGUACUAAACUGCAGAGCUAGAGGAUGGUAGAGGGAGGUGGAAUUCCAGGUGUAGUGGUGAAAUGCGCAGAUAUCUGGAGGAACACCAGUGGCGAAGGCGGCCUCCUGGACCAUUCCUGACACUCAGACGCGAAAGCUAGGGUAGCAAACGGAAUUAGAGACUCCGGUAGUCCUAGCCCUAAACGAUGCAGACUAGGCGUCGGCGGUUUAAUCACCGUCGGUGUCCAAGCUAACGCGAUAAGUCUGCCGCCUGAGGACUACGGCCGCAAGGCUAAAACUCAAAGGAAUUGACGGGUCCCCGCACAAGCAGCGGAGCGUGUGGUUUAAUUCGAUGCUCCGCGAAGAACCUUACCUGGGUUUGACAUAACAGUGGUAGAGAAGUGAAAACGGAUCGAUCCUUCGGGGAGCUGUUACAGGUGUUGCAUGCCUGUCGUCAGCUCGUGUCGUGAGAUGUUCGGUUAAGUCCGCUAACGAGCGCAACCCGCGCUGUGUGUUACAAGUGUCACACAGUACCGCCGGUAUUAAGUCGGAGGAAGGUGCGGAUGACGUCAAGUCAGCAUGACCUUUAUAUCCAGGGCUACACACACGCUACAAUGGUCAGAACAAUAGGUUGCCAAGCCGCAAGGCGGAGCCAAUCCUCCAAAUCUGGCCUCAGUUCAGAUUGCAGGCUGCAACUCGCCUGCAUGAAGUCGGAGUUGCUAGUAAUCGCGAAUCAGAAUGUCGCGGUGAAUACGUUCUCGGGCCUUGCACACAGCGCCCGUCA
rnacentral:rRNA from 1 species